GAGGACCGACUUCCCUCUCCCGGGCAUCCUCCCUGGGCUGCCGGGAGGCGGCGGCGGCGGCGGAGGAGGAGGAACGAGGGGAGAAGGCGGAGAGCAGGAACGCGAGGAGGAGGACCUGGAUCCGUUUCCUCCGGCCAGGACCCGAGCGGCCCCAGCCACCGCUACCCGCCGGCGCCGUCCGCUCUCCAUCAGCCCUCCUGCGCCCACCCGCGACCCCGGGCUCUCUGCGCGUCGGGCCGGGGCCGGAGCCGCGCGGCCGGAGGUCCGGGCUCUGUUUCCCUGUGAGAAGCCGCCUCGGCCCACCGAGAUGUCCCGGCACCAUAGCCGCUUCGAAAGAGAUUACCGGGUGGGCUGGGACCGCCGCGAGUGGAGCGUCAACGGGACGCAUGGGACCACCAGCAUCUGCAGUGUCACCUCGGGGGCCGGUGGCGGCACAGCCAGCAGCCUCAGCGCCCGGCCCGGCCUCCUGCCGCUGCCCGUGGUGCCCUCCC
rnacentral:lncRNA from 1 species